rnacentral:rRNA from 1 species
CCUACGGGAGGCAGCAGUGAGGAAUAUUGGUCAAUGGGCGGGAGCCUGAACCAGCCAAGUCGCGUGAAGGAAGAAGGCACUUAGUAUUGUAAACUCCUUUUGUCGGGGAACAAAGGCGGAGACGCGUCCCCGGAUGAGUGUACCCGAAGAAAAAGCAUCGGCUAACUCCGGGCCAGCCGCCGCGGUAGUACGGGGGAUGCGAUCGUUAUCGGGAUUUAUGGGGUUUAACGGGUGCGCAGGGGGGAGAUCAAGUCAGCGGUAAAAUGUAGGGGCUAAACUCCGACCGGCCGUUGAGACUGGUAUGCUAGAGUUGGAGAGAGGGAUGCGGAAUUCGAGGUGUAGCGGUGAAAUGCGUAGAUAUCACGAAGAACACCGAUGGCGAAGGCAGCACACCGGCUCCAUACUGACGCUGAGGCACGAAAGCGUGGGGAUCGAACAGGAUUAGAUACCCUGGUAGUC